GUGGGGUAACCGUAAGGAGCCAGCCGCCGAAGGGGGGGUAGAUUAUUGGGGUGAAGGCGUAACAAGGUAUCCGUACCGGAAGGUGCGGAUGGAUCACCUCCUUUCUAUGGAGA
rnacentral:rRNA from 1 species